rnacentral:piRNA from 1 species
UCCCAGGCAUCAUCUGUGGGUGACAAAUGU